GCCCUCAUGGCACAAUGGUUAAGUGAUUGGCUGCUAACCAAAAGUUUGGUGGUUUGAACCACCCAGUGGCU
rnacentral:tRNA from 1 species